GGGGUUGUGGCUCAGUGGUAGAGCGCACUCGCCUAGCACAUGAGAGGCCCUGGGUUUGAUCCUCAGCACCACA
rnacentral:tRNA from 1 species